CCGCGUGAUGCACAACAAUUCUCAUGGUCCAAACAGGUACUGACUGUCUGUUGUGAUGAUCACGGAGUAUGCGAAUCACCUUUCGGGACUGAGGG
rnacentral:sRNA from 2 species